CGGGGGGCUGCAGUGGGGAAUCUUGCGCAAUGGGCGAAAGCCUGACGCAGCCAUGCCGCGUGAAUGAUGAAGGUCUUAGGAUUGUAAAAUUCUUUCAGUAGGGACGAUAAUGACGGUACCUACAGAAGAAGCCCCGGCUAACUUCGUGCCAGCAGCCGCGGUAAUACGAAGGGGGCUAGCGUUGCUCGGAAUUACUGGGCGUAAAGGGAGCGUAGGCGGACAUUUAAGUCAGGGGUGAAAUCCCGGGGCUCAACCUCGGAAUUGCCUUUGAUACUGGGUGUCUUGAGUGUGAGAGAGGUAUGUGGAACUCCGAGUGUAGAGGUGAAAUUCGUAGAUAUUCGGAAGAACACCAGUGGCGAAGGCGACAUACUGGCUCAUUACUGACGCUGAGGCUCGAAAGCGUGGGGAGCAAACAGGAUUAGAUACCCGUGUAGUC
rnacentral:rRNA from 1 species